rnacentral:lncRNA from 1 species
CAGGAUAAAUAUGAAUUGUAAUCUCAAUAUAUGAGAAAAAUUUAAAAACAUCGAACAAAGAAAUUGUAAAGAGGAGAAAGAACUCUAAGACUGUAAAUGAAAAUAAACAUCGACCGAGUUACACUGUCCUGUAUCGUGGGCGAAGGAUUGUGCAUUUAUAGGCGUCAAGAGACCAGCGCAGUAGACACCUACCUCCAAAAAGAAAUAACAAACAAUAGUCGGGAAUCUACUGAAGCCCGAGAAUUUUGGCUGAAAUGUCACGUUUUGGUCCCGAGCUCGGGGAUGUUAAAAGGGGGAUUGGCCUCCCGCAUCGGGGAGAAUGGGCGAGGACAGAGAGAGAGAGAGAACGGAUAGUUCCUUUCAUAAGACCCAAUACAACCGCAAUUCGGGUCUCGCAUACUCCAGAAACUCCCUGAUUUUCAACAAGUUGAAGGGAUAUUCUUUUGGGAGAUACGGACCAAGCGUCGUUUGUAUCAUGCCUGCGAAAGAAAGGAAAAAGGGACCUUAAUAGAUUUCCUUAUCGAUGGUUUUACAACUACCAUCCCGUUCCUCCAACUGCACUGCAACAACAUGGUGUCAGACCCCACCUAAAUGAAGGACGAUUUCCAUUUUGAAUCAUCAAUUCCCGAUGGGAGUAGUACACCGUUCUUCGGAGAAUAUUAUCCAAUAAAUUACGGACUGGUCGUUGAAUAUAAAUAGGUCCCCGAGUGGACGAAGAUCAGACUGAGAACAUUGAACUGUUGACAAUCAUUGUUGUGCAUCAGAAUUUAUAAACUCGGGAUCCACCGGGUAUCUUCUGUCUAUUUAAGAUAUUUAUUUGCAGGCCGGAUUAGCCGCGUGGAGGCGCUUCGACUUUCCACUCUGGGGGACCUGGGUUCGAGUCUCGGGUCUCACCCUUUGAAAAUGUUUAUCAUGAAGUCCGGGGUCGGCCCGUCGAUCCCCGGCCUC